rnacentral:rRNA from 1 species
UCGAGCGGACAGAUGGGAGCUUGCUCCCUGAUGUUAGCGGCGGACGGGUGAGUAACACGUGGGUAACCUGCCUGUAAGACUGGGAUAACUCCGGGAAACCGGGGCUAAUACCGGAUGGUUGUUUGAACCGCAUGGUUCAAACAUAAAAGGUGGCUUCGGCUACCACUUACAGAUGGACCCGCGGCGCAUUAGCUAGUUGGUGAGGUAAUGGCUCACCAAGGCAACGAUGCGUAGCCGACCUGAGAGGGUGAUCGGCCACACUGGGACUGAGACACGGCCCAGACUCCUACGGGAGGCAGCAGUAGGGAAUCUUCCGCAAUGGACGAAAGUCUGACGGAGCAACGCCGCGUGAGUGAUGAAGGUUUUCGGAUCGUAAAGCUCUGUUGUUAGGGAAGAACAAGUACCGUUCGAAUAGGGCGGUACCUUGACGGUACCUAACCAGAAAGCCACGGCUAACUACGUGCCAGCAGCCGCGGUAAUACGUAGGUGGCAAGCGUUGUCCGGAAUUAUUGGGCGUAAAGGGCUCGCAGGCGGUUUCUUAAGUCUGAUGU